rnacentral:rRNA from 1 species
UACGUAGGGGGCUAGCGUUGUCCGGAAUCAUUGGGCGUAAAGCGCGUGUAGGCGGUUCGUCGUGUCCGAUGUGAAAGCCCCGGGCUCAACCUGGGAAUGGCAUUGGAAACUGGCGGACUCGAGUGUGGCAGAGGGGGGUGGAAUUCCGCGUGUAGCAGUGAAAUGCGUAGAGAUGCGGAGGAACACCGAUGGCGAAGGCAGCCCCCUGGGCUAACACUGACGCUCAGGCACGAAAGCGUGGGGAGCAAACAGG